UCACCAGUGCGGGGCGGGUGGUACUGCUGUGGGGACAUGGGAGUGUAGCACUUGACAUUAUCCUUAAAACCAACUUUUUUUUUCUCUCUCCCGUCAUCUGAGGCACCGGGGAACAAGAUUCUCAGCAGUACUGGGGCGCGGUGGACUAGGGCGGAACCAGGCACUAGUGGAGGAAUAUCUGGCCUCAAGGACGAGAUUGUACCAGCGGCUGGGAAUGCGCGGCAGCCCUCCCCCUGGUCGGAGCAGCAUUCAAGAAAGAACAAGAACGCACAGUAUGGAGAUGAAGAUGCGCUCAUUCCCGGGUCAAUCCUUCAGAGCGCGGCACGUCCUCGAGGUGGACAAAUAUUGUUCCCAGAUGAUGGUUCUUUUUAAUAUUGGCCCCAGGCAACAGUCACCGCCGUCAGCCUCCUCCUCUCGUGGCUGGAGGCUCCUUACUCUGGAUUGCCCCGCGUGGUGCCCUGGCUGGCCCAGUAACCAUGUGGCGUCAUCACAGCUGCGGGCAAUGUUCUCUAACCGAAACUGAUUUACGUAAUGAUACUGACUUAAACUUAUAUGCAAAAAGAUGAUGAAUGACGCGUUUUCAUUGUCCUUGUUUCAUUGUCCGUGCGAGAAUGCUUUAAAUGAUUUGAAGUGAAUCCGUUUUUAAUUUGAAGCAUUUUCUUUGGAAAAUUUGAAGCAUACAGGAAUGGAAGUUUAAGGAAAACUACAUGGAAAGAAAACCACCUACCUAGUGGCUGCUGUCUUAUAAACACAACAGCCCUCAACUGCUGCUAAGCUCGGAUUAGCAACGAGCCGCUGCCGUCCACGUCGUCGGCGGUGUUGAGGAGAAGCGGCCGAGCCCUGCCGCUGCCACUGCCGCCGCUGAGCCGUUCACCCCGAAGUCUUUUCCGCGGCCCCCAGUGUGGGGUCCACUUAACCAACGGCUGUGGAGAGCGACGUGUAAUAACUCCAGCCACGGUCACGAUCACAAUAAAACAAAAGAAGAUACGGUCUGGCCCGUAUCACCCGCCUCUUCGCUCAUCCCGCCGUAAAGGCUGACUGGUCAGAUGAGCUUAAGUACCAGAUAACUCAGUCUGAUAAGUCCUCAGACCCUUGCUAAUGCAACAAGAUAGGCCUCAGACUCGAACCUUUCAUAGGGAGAAAUUACCGAUAAUAAUAAUGCCGACAGCUCAGUGUGGAGUCGGGGCGAGGCACGACACGUCGCUGUGAGUGAGAAAUCAUUAGAAGGGAAGAACGGAUGCUUGGAGGCGGGAUGAUGAAGCGCCUCCCUCGGCCCAGAUGGCUAACCACCGCUCGAGCCUCGGUAAAAACAGCCAAUCAGAACUCUUUAUGACUUUUCACCCAGCAAUUAGGUUGCAGAAUUAUAUCUGGGCGUUUAUGCCAUCAAGCGGACCCGGGAAUCGGUUCUGUGACGCCCUAAUUUAGCGGCUAAUGUGCAGGUUGGCUCCUCAAACUCUGAAAGGCUUUUAACUGAUCGCCUUGGCCAUAUCUGUUCUAAGA